rnacentral:rRNA from 1 species
AGUGAACGCUGGCGGUAGGCCUAACACAUGCAAGUCGAACGGCAGCACAGUAAGAGCUCGCUCUUACGGGUGGCGAGUGGCGGACGGGUGAGGAAUACAUCGGAAUCUACUUUUUCGUGGGGGAUAACGUAGGGAAACUUACGCUAAUACCGCAUACGACCUACGGGUGAAAGCAGGGGAUCUUCGGACCUUGCGCGAUUGAAUGAGCCGAUGUCGGAUUAGCUAGUUGGCGGGGUAAAGGCCCACCAAGGCGACGAUCCGUGGCUGGUCUGAGAGGAUGAUCAGCCACACUGGAACUGAGACACGGUCCAGACUCCUACGGGAGGCAGCAGUGGGGAAUAUUGGACAAUGGGCGCAAGCCUGAUCCAGCCAUACCGCGUGGGUGAAGAAGGCCUUCGGGUUGUAAAGCCCUUUUGUUGGGAAAGAAAAGCAGCAGGUUAAUACCCCGCUGUUCUGACGGUACCCAAAGAAUAAGCACCGGCUAACUUCGUG